rnacentral:rRNA from 1 species
GACGAACGCUGGCGGCGUGCUUAACACAUGCAAGUGGUGCGACGAACCAGGCUUCGGCCUGGGGCAGAGCCGCGAACGGGUGAGUAACACGUGGGCAACCUGCCCUGUUGAUCGGGACAACCCGGGGAAACCCGGGCUAAUACCGAAGGUGGUGCCGGCUCAUGAGAGCCGUCACGAAAGGAAGCGUCGGCCUCCGCGACGGGAUGGGCCCGCGGCCCAUUAGCUUGUUGGUGGGGUAAUGGCCUACCAAGGCAACGAUGGGUAGCUGGUCUGAGAGGACGAUCAGCCACACUGGGACUGAGACACGGCCCAGACUCCUACGGGAGGCUGCAGUGGGGAAUCUUGCGCAAUGAGCGACAGCUUGACGCAGCAACGCCGCGUGGGGGAAGAAGGCUUUCGGGUCGUAAACCCCUUUCAGUUAGGACGAAGCUUUAUUGGUUAAUAACCAAUUGGAGUGACGGUACUUUCAGAAGAAGCCCCGGCUAACUACGUGCCAGCCGCCGCAGUAA